rnacentral:rRNA from 1 species
UACGUAGGGUGCAAGCGUUAUCCGGAAUUAUUGGGCGUAAAGAGCUCGUAGGCGGUUUGUCGCGUCUGCUGUGAAAACUGGAGGCUCAACCUCCAGCCUGCAGUGGGUACGGGCAAACUAGAGUGCGGUAGGGGAGAUUGGAAUUCCUGGUGUAGCGGUGGAAUGCGCAGAUAUCAGGAGGAACACCGAUGGCGAAGGCAGAUCUCUGGGCCGUAACUGACGCUGAGGAGCGAAAGCAUGGGGGAGCGAACAGG